rnacentral:tRNA from 1 species
GUGGGUAUAAUUUAACAAAAAUACUAGAUUGUGAUUCUAGAUAUGAAAGUUCAUGUCUUUCUACCCACC